CGACGACCCAAGGAGUCUAGACUUGAUUGGUCAUCAUCAGCCAAGACGUGAUUAUGCAUCAGGUUGUGAACCCUGAUUGGGAGCACUGAAACUAAAGAAUAGAAUCAAGAAAACAAAUUAGCAAAGUUGCUAAUGUGAAAAGGAGGAUACUGAAAGCAAGCAGGAACAAAAUGGCUGAAAAGAAAAGACCCCAAGAGCAGCUGGAGGGAUUUGUUUAAGUACAGCUGUCCAGAAACACAAAAAAACAGGGAAAGAGAUGUUUUAGCUGCUGCAGGAUCCCAUGAGACAUCACUUGAAGAUUCACUUCCAGAAUUAACUCACAGUAUGCUACUGAUAAGACUGAGGACUAAAAUAAAAUACAACCUGAAAUAGCAGCCUCUAAAAAUCCACAACAAUGAAACAAAAAGCUAAGUCUAUCCAGUACAAGCCUUCCCUAAAUUACAAGAUAGUGAAAAAUCAAACUUAGUUAACAACAAUGUCACAUAGAGAGCUCAAUCAAUUCUUUAAGACAAUUCCUAAAUUGUCAACUCUAAUAAGCUUCAUUAGUCUACACAGUAUCACUCAUCUAGCAGCUGAACUGAAACUUAGGUCUUGAUUACUUUGAGGAGGUACCAAGAUAGUAUAUUAUACAAGCUCCCAGAAAGUCCCAGUGUAAAUCACUCUAAGGGAUGGCUCAAAAACUUUUGCUUAAGAUCUAUUAAGGCAGACUUCAAAUUUAGGAGCCAGAUCAAUGUUUCAUUUUUCAAGGAAAAGAAUGCAAAAGGGAACACAUUAAAUCAUGCAAGAUAUAAGUGCCCAGUCCCAGGAGAAGCUCAAAGGAAAAGCUCAGCACAAUUGUACAAGUGAAAAUGCACAUACAUGCACACAUGUGCACACCCAUACACAUAAAUAUCUAGUUAGUAUAUUAAGUUUAUAAUUAGUUAAUAUAAGGUAAUAUUAAUAAUAGGUAAGAUUAAAAAGAGGAACUUACAAGUCACUUAUGGACUGUCCUAUAAAUUAAAGAAGCAUAACAACUGCAAACCAUCUCAAAAAUAAAGGGACCAUAGAAGCCACUGGAAAAUGUUUCAUAAAUUAACAAAAGCUGCAUCCUAAGAUUAUGUGCUACAUAAUGGGGAAGCCAGCUAGGCUUUAAAGUAAGGCUCUCUGAAGACUACUAACAGUUCUUAUUCUGUAAACCUUAGAUAAGCUCUAGACAUGCAGUAAGAUGAGCAGAACACCAGAAAAGCAUUACGAUUAUAAAUUAACCUUAAGAUAUUGCUGAUAAAUUUGGGAUGAUGUGGAUAUAUUCAU